UACGGAGGGUGCGAGCGUUAUCCGGAAUUACUGGGUUUAAAGGGUGCGUAGGCGGCCAUGUAAGUCAGGAGUGAAAGUUUGCGGCUCAACCGUAAAAUUGCUUUUGAAACUGCAUGGCUGGAAUCAGGAUGAGGUCAGCGGAAUGUGGCAUGUAGCGGUGAAAUGCAUAGAUAUGCCAUAGAACACCAAUUGCGAAGGCAGCUGGCUAGACCUGUAUUGACGCUGAGGCACGAAAGCGUGGGGAGCGAACAGG
rnacentral:rRNA from 1 species